rnacentral:tRNA from 1 species
GGGCGAAUGGUUUAGUGGUAUAAUACUCCCUUAGCAUGAUUCAUCUGGAUGAUUCAGGCACUUGGGAGUGGUCCAGGGUUCGAUUCCCUGUUCGUCCA